CUGGGAAGAUUCUGAAUAAAAAUUGACAAAAUGCACUUGCUUGCUGGCAAAGUGUGUUGUUGAUGCUUCAAUUGACGCCGAAGGCUUUAUGAUACACAAACCAUGUUCGUCUUCAUCCUGCCGUUUCUUGUAGGCCCCGCUGCCGGCGGCUUCGGCAGUGGUCCUAAGAUUCUUGUGGCAGAUUAUCAGACUAAUUGGACCGGUUUAUUAACGUUUCUAACAACGGACCAGGUAAUUUGGCUGAAGUACAGCAAUAAAUCUGUUGGAAAUAUUGAGUGUCUUGGAUGGAAGAAAACGGCACUCACGGGAAAUAGUUACACUUUCGUCAAAAGCUACCAUGAAGGAUGGCUAAAGUGAAAGAUACAUAAUGGAUUACUGGAAUUUCAACGAAAAGUGUGCCUUGUUUUUUGGUCCAGGGUCGCUAUGUCAGCAGUAUGUGUGGAAUAGUCACGUUAAAACUUCGCGUGUAUGUAACGCUGCGUACGCCGAAACUUGUCGCGGUACGCGCUACGAGAUUUACAAAAUAAACUGCGCACCAUAAGCAGAUAUUUGUGUCGGUCUGCACAAUUUCGAGGUGUGAAUGCCAAUAAACUAUAUUUGGCAUAUAUUAUUUCCUAGUGUACAGGGUAUAUUGUUGUGAAAUUAAAGUCAAUAAAGAUUUGUUGAAUAGACA
rnacentral:misc_RNA from 1 species